rnacentral:rRNA from 1 species
GUAGGCGAUGGAUAACAGGUUGAUAUUCCUGUACCACCUAUAAUCGUUUUAAUCGAUGGGGGGACGCAGUAGGAUAGGCGAAGCGUGCGAUUGGAUUGCACGUCUAAGCAGUAAGGCUGAGUAUUAGGCAAAUCCGGUACUCAUUAAGGCUGAGCUGUGAUGGGGAGAAGACAUUGUGUCUUCGAGUCGUUGAUUUCACACUGCCGAGAAAAGCCUCUAGAUAGAAAAUAGGUGCCCGUACCGCAAACCGACACAGGUAGUCAAGAUGAGAAUUCUAAGGUGAGCGAGCGAACUCUCGUUAAGGAACUCGGCAAAAUGACCCCGUAACUUCGGGAGAAGGGGUGCUCUUUAGGGUUAACGCCCAGAAGAGCCGCAGUGAAUAGGCCCAAGCGACUGUUUAUCAAAAACACAGGUCUCUGCUAAACCGUAAGGUGAUGUAUAGGGGCUGACGCCUGCCCGGUGCUG